rfam:Triticum aestivum genome assembly, contig: Triticum_aestivum_CS42_TGACv1_scaffold_290585_4AL
CCAUUGCUCAGUUGGUAAAGCACAAGGCUCUUAACCUUGUGGACGUGAAUUCAAGCCCCAUAAUGGG